rnacentral:lncRNA from 12 species
UGAGAACUGACCAGGUUGUCCAGAGAGGCUGUGGAGUGCUCCUCACUGGAGAUAUUCAGAACCAUCUGACACAAUCCUGUGCCAUAUGCUCUGGGAUGACCCUGCUGGAGCAGGGGGGCUGGACCUGGUGACCCUUCCAGCCUGACCAUCCUGUGAUUUAGUGAUUGUGUGACCUCGCUGAAGUGAAGGUCUUUGAUGUGAGGAGUAACUGAAAGGAGAAUGUAACUCAGUGACAACUUUCCUUCCCCUCCAUUCCUGAACUACAAUGGCUUGCUCAUAAAUCAGUGGGUAGGAGUCCCAGGGCCAGAAGAGCUGUCUCGUCCUCAUGAGGACGGGACGCCACAAGGCGAUAUUGGAUGGUGCUUCCACUCCCCGUUUCCUCAGGGGAUGGCUCCGGGAGCCCAUCAGGACCCUGUCCCUGCCCGGAGCCCGGGGACAAUGCUGGCUGCCCUCCUCAUUUUGUCAGGGGAUGGCUCCGGGAGCCCAUCAGGACCCUGUCCCUGCCCGGAGCCCGGGGACAAUGCUGGCUGCCCUCCUCAUUUUGUCCCGGCGAGCGACCUUGGGUGCCGCGUGUUUGGGCAGAGCGACAGCCACCAACGGGUUGGGGACAGGCUGCCCACCUUCCCCAGUGCUCGGGGGCGCUCCGACCCCGNAUCCCCAUCCCCGUCCCCAUCCCCCCCCCCCCCCCCCCCC